CCUACGGGUGACAGCAGUGAGGAAUAUUGGUCAAUGGACGAGAGUCUGAACCAGCCAAGUAGCGUGAAGGAUGACUGCCCUAUGGGUUGUAAACUUCUUUUAUAAAGGAAUAAAACGAGGCACGUGUGCCUUUUUGCAUGUACUUUAUGAAUAAGGAUCGGCUAACUCCGUGCCAGCAGCCGCGGUAAUACGGAGGAUCCGAGCGUUAUCCGGAUUUAUUGGGUUUAAAGGGAGCGUAGAUGGGUUGUUAAGUCAGUUGUGAAAGUUUGCGGCUCAACCGUAAAAUUGCAAUUGAUACUGGCAGUCUUGAGUACAGUUGAGGUAGGCGGAAUGCGUGGUGUAGCGGUGAAAUGCUUAGAGAUCACGAAGAACCCCGAUUGCGAAGGCAGCUUACUAAACUGUGACUGACAUUGAUGCUCGAAAGUGUGGGUAGCAAACAGGAUUAGAUACCCUAGUAGUC
rnacentral:rRNA from 1 species